GACGCACGCUGGCGGCGUGCUUAACACAUGCAAGGCGAACGAUGAACCCGGAGCUUGCUCCGGUGGAUUAGUGGCGAACGGGUGAGUAACACGUGAGUAACCUGCCCUUGACUCUGGGGUAACUGCGGGAAACUGUAGCUAAUACAGGAUACGCCCUUCGGCGGCAUCGCCAGGGGGUGGAAAGCAUUUCGGUACAGGAUGGACUCGCGGCCUAUCAGCUAGUUGGUGGGGUAACGGCUCACGAAGGCGACGACGGGUAGCCGGCCUGAGAGGGGGACCGGCCACACUGGGACUGAGACACGGCCCAGACUCCUACGGGAGGCAGCAGUGGGGAAUAUUGCACAAUGGGCGCAAGCCUGAUGCAGCAACGCCGCGUGAGGGAUGACGGCCUUCGGGUUGUAAACCUCUUUUAGUAGGGAAGAAGCGAAAGUGACGGUACCUGCAGAAAAAGCACCGGCUAACUACGUGCCAGCCGCCGCAGUAA
rnacentral:rRNA from 1 species